AUUGAACGCUGGCGGCAGGCCUAACACAUGCAAGUCGAGCGGUAGCACAGAGAGCUUGCUCUCGGGUGACGAGCGGCGGACGGGUGAGUAAUGUCUGGGAAACUGCCUGAUGGAGGGGGAUAACUACUGGAAACGGUAGCUAAUACCGCAUAAUGUCGCAAGACCAAAGUGGGGGACCUUCGGGCCUCAUGCCAUCAGAUGUGCCCAGAUGGGAUUAGCUAGUAGGUGGGGUAACGGCUCACCUAGGCGACGAUCCCUAGCUGGUCUGAGAGGAUGACCAGCCACACUGGAACUGAGACACGGUCCAGACUCCUACGGGAGGCAGCAGUGGGGAAUAUUGCACAAUGGGCGCAAGCCUGAUGCAGCCAUGCCGCGUGUGUGAAGAAGGCCUUCGGGUUGUAAAGCACUUUCAGCGGGGAGGAAGGCGAUAAGGUUAAUAACCCUGUCGAUUGACGUUACCCGCAGAAGAAGCACCGGCUAACUCCGUGCCAGCAGCCGCGGUAAUACGGAGGGUGCAAGCGUUAAUCGGAAUUACUGGGCGUAAGGCGCACGCAGGCGGUCUGUCAAGUCGGAUGUGAAAUCCCCGGGCUCAACCUGGGAACUGCAUUCGAAACUGGCAGGCUAGAGUCUUGUAGAGGGGGGUAGAAUUCCAGGUGUAGCGGUGAAAUGCGUAGAGAUCUGGAGGAAUACCGGUGGCGAAGGCGGCCCCCUGGACAAAGACUGACGCUCAGGUGCGAAAGCGUGGGGAGCAAACAGGAUUAGAUACCCUGGUAGUCCACGCCGUAAACGAUGUCGAUUUGGAGGUUGUGCCCUUGAGGCGUGGCUUCCGGAGCUAACGCGUUAAAUCGACCGCCUGGGGAGUACGGCCGCAAGGUUAAAACUCAAAUGAAUUGACGGGGGCCCGCACAAGCGGUGGAGCAUGUGGUUUAAUUCGAUGCAACGCGAAGAACCUUACCUGGUCUUGACAUCCACAGAACUUAGCAGAGAUGCUUUGGUGCCUUCGGGAACUGUGAGACAGGUGCUGCAUGGCUGUCGUCAGCUCGUGUUGUGAAAUGUUGGGUUAAGUCCCGCAACGAGCGCAACCCUUAUCCUUUGUUGCCAGCGGUUAGGCCAGGAACUCAAAGGAGACUGCCAGUGAUAAACUGGAGGAAGGUGGGGAUGACGUCAAGUCAUCAUGGCCCUUACGACCAGGGCUACACACGUGCUACAAUGGCAUAUACAAAGAGAAGCGACCUCGCGAGAGCAAGCGGACCUCAUAAAGUAUGUCGUAGUCCGGAUUGGAGUCUGCAACUCGACUCCAUGAAGUCGGAAUCGCUAGUAAUCGUAGAUCAGAAUGCUACGGUGAAUACGUUCCCGGGCCU
rnacentral:rRNA from 1 species